UGCUGCGCAUUGGGGCACUACUG
rnacentral:miRNA from 2 species